CCUAUGGGUGGCAGCAGUGGGGAAUAUUGCACAAUGGGCGCAAGCCUGAUGCAGCCAUGCCGCGUGUGUGAAGAAGGCCUUCGGGUUGUAAAGCACUUUCAGCGGGGAGGAAGGCGGUGAGGUUAAUAACCUCAUCGAUUGACGUUACCCGCAGAAGAAGCACCGGCUAACUCCGUGCCAGCAGCCGCGGUAAUACGGAGGGUGCAAGCGUUAAUCGGAAUUACUGGGCGUAAAGCGCACGCAGGCGGUCUGUCAAGUCGGAUGUGAAAUCCCCGGGCUCAACCUGGGAACUGCAUUCGAAACUGGCAGGCUAGAGUCUUGUAGAGGGGGGUAGAAUUCCGGGUGUAGCGGUGAAAUGCGUAGAGAUCUGGAGGAAUACCGGUGGCGAAGGCGGCCCCCUGGACAAAGACUGACGCUCAGGUGCGAAAGCGUGGGGAGCAAACAGGAUUAGAUACCCGGUAGUC
rnacentral:rRNA from 1 species